UACAGAGGUCCCAAGCGUUGUUCGGAUUCACUGGGCGUAAAGGGUGCGUAGGUGGUGAGGUAAGUCGGAUGUGAAAUCUCCGAGCUCAGUUCGGAAAUGGCAUUGGAAACUACCUUGCUCGAGGGUUGGAGGGGGGACUGGAAUGCUUGGUGUAGCAGUGAAAUGCGUAGAUAUCAAGCGGAACACCAGUGGCGAAGGCGAGUCCCUGGACAACUCCUGACACUGAGGCACGAAAGCUAGGGGAGCAAACAGG
rnacentral:rRNA from 1 species